CAACAAACACCUCGAACUCUAGACAGAUAAAUUACAAUGAGUCAAAAAUCAAACUCAAGCGUGUGUCCAGACUAGAAGCACGAGCCUAUGACCAACCGAAGACGAAGUCGAGGACGUAAACGAUGGCCAGGGUCAGAGGGUACAGCAGGUACGCCACCAGACAGGUCCAGAGCGGGAAGCUGGUCCGGAAGCUUGUGAAGAGGCCCAUGAUGACACAGGCGAGCAGGAUGACGAGCACCUCCGAAGAGAAGUCCCACGUCAGCUCCCUGAAGUAGAUGAGCGCCAAGAACACGCCCAGACACAGCGUGUUGUUCAUGGUCACGCCACCGUAUACCUGCAAGCGAAUUUGUUGUCGAGUAAAGAUGUUAAGUCCAGAGUUGAGACACGGACAGUUUUAGAAGGUAAGGAGUUUUUCACUCUACCUCUGAGAAAGUGAGGGAGCAAGUCCUCUGCUUCUUCCUGCUGGCGAAGAUGAUGGCUGAGACAGCCUCGCUGGAAUUGGUUGCCAGAGGCAGGCCGAUGAACGAGACAAAGAAGGACGGGAUGUGUGUGGCAUUAGAAAAGUUGUGGACAGCAUCAACGAGCGGGUCUGCAAAUGCGGCACAAAUGGUAGCACCGAGAAGCAGGUACCCCACAGCUUUGGCAAUACACCAGCCAGGGUUCUCGACGCUCUCCACUGCCUCGUCAGAUCUGUCGACCAACUGAUCAUGCUCCUCCCUGGUCCUCUGCAGAAUUCACACAAUUCUGUAAGUGUCCACCUCUUUCAUGCCAAGUUACACUGCUAUCUAAAAUUCUAAACUCGAUUUCGUGUUUACUUAGUGUAAGUUAAUAUAAUUCUUAUCUGAAAAGGUGUGCUCUUUGUCUAUUUCCUUUUUGCAGGGAUCGGAA
rnacentral:lncRNA from 1 species